ACUGCUUGUGUUAUUUGAACUUCAUAAGGUUUUUUUAUCAUUGGACCAGGGAUAUUGCAGUUACUAAUACCCCAUUCAUACGAUGAAACUUUGCUCAUGUAUGCAAAUUUACUCACGAGUAAAUUUACACACAUAAUUGUAGUUAAUUUGCUAAGCUUUCAGAAAAGAAUUCUGUAAUGUAAGUAUAUCCUAAAAUUGACUUAAAAAAUAAGAAGAUUGACUGCUUCAGACUCAUGAAUUUUCACAGAAAAGGGGUAUAUUCUUACUAUUUGGGUACUGGUAUACAUGUAGGACUAGAUUUUGGAUGUUUCCAAAUAGAGAGUUAUAAAAUUUGUGAAAAUUUGGAAAUUGCUUUGGCCCCCAGCCCCAAAGACUGUAGGAGAUACAUUGCAUGUUAAGAAAAAAGUGGCUUUUGCCAUCUUCUGGUUAGCACCUUCAGCGAAAUAUCAGACUGUUGCAAAUCUUUUUGAUUUUGCGACAACGUUCAAAAGUUAAUUUGCCCAUAUAGUCCUGUCUAGUUGCAGAUUUAAUCAACUAUGUAGAAUUUGCACGAGAAAAUCAGUUCAUAUGACAAAAUAGCACAUGUAAUAAGAAAAUUCACAUGUGUAAAUUAUACAAUGUAUGAAAAUCUUGUCGUAUAAAUGGGGUUUUAGAUGAUACAUAUACUGUAGUGUAAUCCAUUUGCUUUCUAAUUUUUGUUUCUAUUAUUUACAUGUAUUUAAAUUAUUUAUCCUGUGUGAAUCCAUUAAAAUUUUGUUUUUAAAGAUAUAAAUUCGUCUUCAGCAAACAAUAAUUAAAAUUUUUUUAACAU
rnacentral:sRNA from 1 species